rnacentral:lncRNA from 1 species
UUAUUUUCGUUUUCCAUAAAAAUAAAGAUAAAAUCAACCAAAAUCCAAUACCUUCCACCUCAAGCUUUCACGUCGGGUUCACCACUUAUGUCGUAUUAUGUGCUUUCCUACUCGAGAACGCGCCGGGCGUCUGGCUGUAGAAGGUAGUAUGGAGAUUCGCCGAUAGCCAAGCAGUCUAUCAGUUUUUGACUGCUAGAAUAUAAACGACUGCAACAAUGUACCGUAAAUCUAUACGGAUGCUCUUCGACUGCUUGUCGAAGUCUUUUUUUUUUUUUUUGCUCCAGCCGAUAGGUCUCUAGACGUUACAGAGAACCCUGAACAACCCAAACUGUUAAUCUUCAAUACCCCUUUGUACUUACGAUCUUGUAUCCACUGACUGUCCUGUUAGAUUAACCCAAUAAAUUUCAUUCA